rnacentral:rRNA from 1 species
UACGUAGGGUGCAAGCGUUAAUCGGAAUUACUGGGCGUAAAGCGUGCGCAGGCGGUCUCGUAAGACAGGUGUGAAAUCCCCGGGCUUAACCUGGGAACUGCGCUUGUGACUGCGAGGCUGGAGUGCGGAAGAGGGAGGUGGAAUUCCACGUGUAGCAGUGAAGGGCGUAGAGAUGUGGAGGAACACCGAUGGCGAAGGCAGCCUCCUGGUCUAGCACUGACGCUCAUGCACGAAAGCGUGGGGAGCAAUCAGG